GGACUUCACCACUGCUUGUACACGACUUCCUGUCAUAAUGGGAUUUAGGGAACGUCUUCAGGUGACAGGAAGGCAAUUAAAAAAACGAAUGGUACUUCACAGAACUUGCAUACAACUAUACAUUCCCUGAACCAACACUAAGAUACUUUAUAUGGUGCCGUAAAACAUGGGAGUGUAAAUUGCAUCCAGCUGCAAAAAUGGAUUUUGAAUGCGGUUCGAUUUUCAACAUCAGAUAUUACCCAGCUUAUAACCAAAUCGACCGAAGAUGUAGAGAGGAAACAACAGGAAAGGAUGGCUCUACAAACAGAACUGGUCAAUGUCGUGAAAGACUCUGUAUAACAAAAUCUAGAAUUGGAACUUUGAAUGAAAAAAAAAAACUGUUUCAAUGAUUACAUAGCACAGGGUUAUUUUAAUUUUUAUUGGAAGUUUGUGAUUAUGACUUAAAUAAAUGACACUUAAGAUAG